GCUGUAGGUGGCCUAGAACUCGCCAUGUAAACUGGGGUGUCCUUGAACCCACAGAGACACUCUUUGUUCUUCCUCUGGAGUGCCGAGUGUGUGUGAUGCCCGACAACACUGCUUUCUUCAGUACGUAAGCUGAUAUGACUUCAUGAAAAUGCCUCGUGUAAAAGCAGCUCAGGCUGGAAGACAGGGACCUGCAAAGAGGCGCCUCGCAGAGCAGUUUGCCGCUGGAGAGAUCAUAACCGACAUGUCUAAAAAGGAAUGGAAACUAGGCUUGCCUAUUGGCCAAGGAGGCUUUGGCUGCAUCUAUCUGGCGGACACAAAUUCUUCCAAACCGGUCGGCAGUGAUGCGCCCUGUGUUGUGAAAGUGGAACCCAGUGACAAUGGACCUCUUUUCACUGAAUUAAAGUUCUACCAGAGGGC
rnacentral:lncRNA from 1 species